rnacentral:rRNA from 1 species
GACAGAGGCCUCGAGCGUUAGGCGGAAUCACUGGGCUUAAAGCGUGUGUAGGCGGAUCGUUAAGUGCCUUGUGAAAUCCCACGGCUUUAACUGUGGAAUGGCUGGGCAUACUGGCGGUCUUGAGCCAUCUAGGGGCGACUGGAACAAACGGUGGAGCGGUGAAAUGCGUAGAUAUCGUUUGGAACGCCAAGUGGUGAAAACAGGUCGCUGGGGAUGAGCUGACG